rnacentral:lncRNA from 1 species
AGCAAGGCAAAUAGUCAAGACGGAGAUGAACUUCUUUGGCAGUUAACUUUGGGGACUCCCAGAAGAUAAAAUAAUAAGAAAAAAAGCUGAAAUCCUGCCAUUUGACCAGUGAACGUUCCUGAUCUAGUGGACUUAGAAACCUUCCCGAGGGACCUGAUGCAAAUUUGCACCAAAGCAGCAGCUGCAUUUCCACAGUUCUAGCUUCACCUUCACAAUGUUUCCCUUGCUCAAAAAGGCACUAAGUCAUCUCCAAGUUUGAAGCACCCAGCGAACAACAGCAAGGCAGAGCCACCAGAAGCAUACACCUGAUUUUCAUGACAAACACGGUAACGCUGU